AUCGGACACUGUAGGUACAGUGGUGCGGCCAGCUGGGGGUCACCCAGCGUGCAAGAGGGGGUCACCCAACAAGCACAAGCAUACCAUGCAGUAUAGGCCAGCAGGGGAGGGGGUCACCCUCAGUUUGAACAUAAAUCGGACACUGUAGGUACAGUAGUGCCAUAGUGGUUAGCCGUAUAAUAAAGUAACCAGACAUUGCCGGUCCAGCAGUGUA